rnacentral:lncRNA from 1 species
UAUGCUUUUUAAUUUCAAUCAUUCAAUCUUUGCUUCCUCUUUUUCUAGCUGCUUGGUACAGUACACAAGCAAAACCAAAUCAUUACGGUGACACAAAUUUAAAAAAACAGAACAACCAAGUUCAUCAUAAAGAGCGUGAGAUAGAGAAACCACCUUUACCUCCCAGAGAUCAGUUCAAAUCCAUGGAAUCUGUGGAUCAGGGUUAUGAGGAUUUGGAGCCUGGGUCAGACUAUGUGGAGGUUGAGGAUGAGUCGAACCUUCCUGCCCCGCAGCAACCCACCUUCACUCCACACUACACCACCGUCGAGACUAAAAGUCAAGACCAAGACGCUGUUUCUGAGGAUUAUGACGACGUUGAAAUCCCUGUUAACUAUGACAGCGAGGACUAUGAUGACGUAGGGUAAAAGACACAAAAUCAAUGACUUUCCCUUCAGCUGGACACAGGAGCGGACCCUGAAAUCAACUGCAAGUUUCCUUCAAGCUACUAUUGUACAUUAUUUGAGCAAAAACAAGUUCUAAUAGCAUAUAAACU